rnacentral:rRNA from 1 species
ACUCAAAUGAAUAGACGGGGGCCCGCACAAGCGGUGGAGCAUGUUGUUUAAUACGUCACUAACCGUAGAACCUUACCAGGGCUUGACAUCGUCGGACCGUCCCGGAAACGGGAUUUUCCCCGCAAGGGGACCGGAUGACAGGUGUUGCAUGGCUGUCGUCAGCUCGUGUCGUGAGAUGUUGGGUUAAGUCCCGCAACGAGCGCAACCCUCACCCCAUGUUGCCAGCGGAUAAUGCCGGGAACUCUUGGGGAACUGCCUGGGUAACCGGGAGGAAGGUGGGGAUGACGUCAAGUCAGCAUGGCCCUUACGUCCUGGGCUACAAACAUGCUACAAUGGACGGUUUACACAAAGGGAUCCGAUCUCGCGAGAGGGAGGCAAUCUCAGAAAUCCGUUCCCAGUUCGGAUCGCAGGCUGCAACUCGCCUGCGUGAAGUCGGAAUCGCUAGUAACCGCAGAUCAGCGAAGCUGCGGUGAAUACGUUCCCGGGCCUUGUACACACCGCCCGU